rnacentral:rRNA from 1 species
GGCGGUAUGCUUAACACAUGCAAGUCGAACGGAAACGAUACUAGCUUGCUAGUAGGCGUCGAGUGGCGGACGGGUGAGUAACGCGUAGGAAUCUGCCUGAUAGUGGGGGAUAGCCCGAAGAAAUUCGGAUUAAUACCGCAUAAUCUAUUCGUAGUAAAGUGGGGGACUUUCGAGCCUCACGCUAUCAGAUGAGCCUGCGUAAGAUUAGCUUGUUGGUAGGGUAAAAGCCUACCAAGGCGACGAUCUUUAGCUGGUCUGAGAGGAUGAUCAGCCACAUCGGGACUGAGACACGGCCCGAACUCCUACGGGAGGCAGCAGUGGGGAAUAUUGGACAAUGGGGGCAACCCUGAUCCAGCAAUACCGCGUGUGUGAAGAAGGCCUGAGGGUUGUAAAGCACUUUCAAUUGUGAAGAAAAGUUAGCGGUUAAUAACCGUUAGCCUUGACGUUAACUUUAGAAGAAGCACCGGCUAACUCCGUGCCAGCAGCCGCGGUAAUACGGAGGGUGCAAGCGUUAAUCGGAAUUACUGGGCGUAAAGCGUGCGUAGGCGGUUUAUUAAGUCAGAUGUGAAAGCCCCGGGCUUAACCUGGGAACUGCAUUUGAAACUGGUCAACUAGAGUAUGGUAGAGGAAAGUGGAAUUUCUGGUGUAGCGGUGAAAUGCGUAGAUAUCAGARGGAACAUCAAUGGCGAAGGCAGCUUUCUGGACCAAUACUGACGCUGAGGUACGAAAGCGUGGGUAGCA